GGUCAAUGAUGACCUGGCAUGUAUUCUGAAUCUAAAGUUGUUUAUUACUAUUUUAGCUCUAGAAUUACUCUGAGACCUG
ensembl:snoRNA